rnacentral:rRNA from 1 species
UAUGACGGGUAUCCGGCCUGAGAGGGUGAACGGACACACUGGAACUGAGACACGGUCCAGACUCCUACGGGAGGCAGCAGUAGGGAAUAUUGCUCAAUGGGCGCAAGCCUGAAGCAGCAACGCCGCGUGGAGGAUGAAGGUUUUAGGAUCGUAAACUCCUUUUGUUAGAGAAGAUAAUGACGGUAUCUAACGAAUAAGCACCGGCUAACUCCGUGCCAGCAGCCGCGGUAAUGCGGAGGGUGCAAGCGUUACUCGGAAUCACUGGCCGUAAAGAGCGCGUAGGCGGGAUAGUAAGUCAGGUGUGAAAUCCUAUGGCUUAACCAUAGAACUGCAUUUGAAACUACUAUUCUAGAGUGUGGGAGAGGUAGGUGGAAU